GUCUACGGCCAUGCUACCCUGUACAAGCCUGAUCCCAUCUGAUCUCAAAAGCUAAGCAGGUUCGGGCCUGGUUAGUUACUUGGAUGGGAGACCACCUAGGAAGACCAGGUGCUGUAGGCA
rnacentral:rRNA from 1 species